rnacentral:rRNA from 1 species
CAGUAGCCGCGGUAAUACGAAGGGUGCAAGCGUUAAUCGGAAUUACUGGGCGUAAAGCGUGCGUAGGCGGUUUGUUAAGUCUGUUGUGAAAUCCCCGGGCUCAACCUGGGAAUGGCAAUGGAUACUGGCUCGCUAGAGUGUGUCAGAGGAUGGUGGAAUUCCCGGUGUAGCGGUGAAAUGCGUAGAGAUCGGGAGGAACAUCAGUGGCGAAGGCGGCCAUCUGGGACAACACUGACGCUGAGGCACGAAAGCGUGGGGAGCAAACAGGAUUAGAUACCCCCGUAGUCCCUGUCUCUUAUAC